rnacentral:rRNA from 1 species
UACGUAGGGUGCAAGCGUUGUCCGGAAUUAUUGGGCGUAAAGAGCUCGUAGGCGGUUUGUCGCGUCUGCUGUGAAAUCUGGAGGCUCAACCUCCAGCCUGCAGUGGGUACGGGCAGACUAGAGUGCGGUAGGGGAGAUUGGAACUCCUGGUGUAGCGGUGGAAUGCGCAGAUAUCAGGAAGAACACCGAUGGCGAAGGCAGAUCUCUGGGCCGUAACUGACGCUGGAGGAGCGGAAAGCAUUGGGGAGCGAAC